AUCCAGCUGACGAGUCCCAAAUAGGACGAUUUGCGCAUCCUUGAU
rnacentral:hammerhead_ribozyme from 1 species